UAAUUGCAGCUUCUGAGGAUCGAACUUGUAAGGUGUGGAGCUUAUCUAAGGGGAUAUUAUUGAGAAAUGUUGUGUUUCCCUCAGUAAUUGAUGCAAUUGCUUUAGAACCUGGUGAACAUGUCUUCUAUGCUGGCAGUAGAGAUGGAAAUAUAUACAUUGCUGCACUAAAUGCUGACAGUUCCUCUAGCAAAAGUCAUUGGUUGCAUAUUGUUAGUUCAUUAUAUAACAGUAAGCCUGUUACUUGCUUAGCAUAUAGUGCAAAUGGAAAUUUAUUGCUAUCCGGAUCAGUGGAUGGCGUGAUCCGCAUUUGGGAUGCCACAAGCUAUGAUCCUGUUUGCACCUUUAAACAUGCAACAGGUCCUGUGAACAACAUCCAAAUUGUUAGGUGGCCACUUUAUCUGAAUCCUCCAGUAUCAUUAAAUGUGCAAGCUUCCUCAAGAAGGCAUGGAUCAUUAUUGCCACCUCCACUGGAUAAAUAUGUGAACUCAACAGACAAAAACACAGGAAUUAAUGCAGUUAUUAGGCUCCAGUCUUCUUACAAUGGUCCUCCAGAUGCUUCAUACCUCAGCUGUCAAGUGAUUGAUAAUCAAAUCAAAGAACUUAAGCAACAAGGUUCUGCUGCUGCAGCUGAAAUGGAGGUGGAGAGACUAAAGCUGGAUUGCACGCAUUAUACGCAAAUGCUUCAGAAGUGGAAGAAAAUGUAUGACAAUUUGCAUGAAUUGUGUGUAAAUGAAAUAUUGGAGGGAGAUAAUGAGGUAAACACCAAUUAAAACUUAACCUGAGGGCUGAGGCUAUUCGAUUCUCCUUUUGCGAGCAGCUUCUAAAAUUUUGGAUAUAUAUAUAUAUAUAUAUAUUUAUCGUCAAUAUGAUGAGAGAUUUGAGCCAUUCACUUUUUCAUUCUUCUUAAUCGUG
rnacentral:misc_RNA from 1 species